AAUCCACUGCGGUUGUUGAUUCUUGGGGAUUUGCCCGGUUUGUAAAUGUUGGGGAUGAAAGGGGAGAGACGCCUCUACAUCUUGCAGCACGGCGAAGAUGGACUGAGUGUGUCCGUGUACUCUUAGACCAUGGGGCUCUUGUUUCUUCUUCCACUAGGGAAUAUGGUCAUUCUGGGAGCACUCCUCUACAUUUGGCAGCUCACGGAGGAAGUUUGGAUUGUGUUCGCACAUUGCUU